ACAUGGACCUGAGAGCAUUAAACUGGAGCUUCACGCCAAUUAAUAGCCAGAUAAUUACAACCCAUCCCCUCCUACUUGCUGCUGACUUCCCCAUGUAAUUUUCUUUUAAUUUUUGCUUAAUAGGCACGCAGGAAAGAUGAGUUACUCAGUGUGCUGCUUGCAUUUGAUAUGUGGUAGACUCAGCAGACUGAUGCCCUCCAUCCAUCCUGGAUCAAGCUGUGGGUGUGAGCAGCGUGCUGGAGAGGACUGAUGGUGCUUCCCUGCCUGCCAAGGGAUGGAGAAACUUAAGGAAAAUGGAGAGGGGGGGAAAAAAAGGUCAAGGCUGGACAGGAAAGUCAGAAUGUUGGUGUGAGAAGACAAAGGGAGCCUUGCCAGAGGCUCAUCCCACCUCCAUCCAGACCUGCUGAGCUGCUUCCUGAGGAUUCUGAGUGGACAGAAACAGCCCCUGGAACAGCAUUACUGGCCAAGCACAGAAUUCAACUCAUCAUUUCCCCUGACAAAGAAGGCAACGAUUAGGCACGGAAAUAAUUUGGGCUACUGCCUGUGUUGGAGAUAACUCUCCGUAAGAGAUGCUGGCUCGGAUGUUUCUUUCUCUCCAUCCACAGAGCCAGAGGAGCGGUUGGCCCUGCCCUUUUUCCAGCAUCCUGGUUUUCCCUCUGUCUUGCCUGCCUGGGAAACACCAGCAUUGCACAGGUAGUCAAGUAAUAUUUCCCUUCACUAAUCACAGAAAUCAAUGCUGGCUCAGGCAUAAAAGAGGAACAAAGCCAAAGGAUUUGAUCUUCCUUGCCCCAGCAGUGGCAUUCACCUGCACCUCUCAGACCUCUGGCAUCACCUCAAUGUGUCUUUCCCUGCCUGGAAUGUGUUUGAGCCCUGGGGAUGCCAGGGAAAGGGUUGGAGGAACCAGCCCCACCACUGUGCAAUAA
rnacentral:lncRNA from 1 species